rnacentral:tRNA from 1 species
GACACGAUGGCCGAGUGGUCUAAGGCGGUAGAUUUAAGCCCCGCUUAGAUCUCUACUACAGAAAUGUGCGUGGGUUCGAACCCCACUCGUGUCAU